UCAAUGAUUUAAAUAGCCGCAGAAAUUUAACUGUGCUAAGGUAGCAUAAUCAUUUGAUUUUUAAUUAAAAUCUAGAAUGAAAGACUUAACAAUUUAAAUUCUUUUUUAUUUUUAAUCAUUAAAAUUUUAUUAAAAAUAAAAAUAUUUUUAUUUUUUAAAAAGACGACAAGACCCUUUUAAACUUAACUUUAGUUUAACUGGGACAGUUAUUUAAUAAUUAUUUUAAAAUAUUUAUUUUACUAAUAACCUAAUAUUAUUAAAUUAACAAGUUACUAAAGGGAUAACAGCGUAAUUUAUACUUAAAGCUCUUAUUUAAUUAUAAGAUUACGACCUCGAUGUUGAAUUAAAUUCCUUUUUUAAGCAAAAUAAAUAAAAGGAGGUCUGUUCGACCUUUAAAAAUUUACAUGAUUUGAGUUCAAA
rnacentral:rRNA from 1 species